ACAGGAGGUGGGCUGGGUGAAGGAAAGGGGGGCUACCCUUGGGAACAAAGUCAGGCUGUGAAGCCAAGAGGCCAGCUCCUUGCGUAAGCCCUUCUGAUGCAACCAGCAGGCAGACAAUUCCUUUGGCCAGCCUGGAGUCUUUCUGAGAAAGGGAAACCGGGGAGUGGGAUCCACCCCCUUCCCUCCGCCCAACCUUCCGAGCUGUGCCAGCUCCUCUGAAUUGAAAAGAAAAAGAAAAUCUUCAUAACAAAUGCAACAACUGUAACAAUUAUGACAAAUAAAUCCCCCCACUGACCAGCUCCCUCUCUGAGACCUUCCAAAGAAGACUUCCAGGCCCAUCAGCAAGCUGUACCCCUCACUAGGGGAAGAAGCUGUGGUGUCUUGGACAAAGAAAUGAACUUGGAGAGAGAAGACCCACUGCUAAGUCCGGAGUCUUGGCUCUGCCCUCCAUAGUAUAACCUUGGCUGAGACAUCUCGCUGAGCUAGAAGACUAGGCAUAGGGAAUGAUGGACGCCCUGCAAAUAUUUGUUGAAGCAAAUUGAAUUAUAAACCAAGAUCCAGUAGAAUGAUGGAUCCCUGGGCAAUGAAGGGAGGAGGGGUAUAUUCAGAAAUAAAGACGUU